rnacentral:sRNA from 1 species
GGGAUGCCCUCGAAAAGCAUAUAUUACAGAUACCCACCACGAAUGUCAACAGAGCAGGUGCAGUCGAGUUAUUACGGGGUUCGGACGGGAUCAAUUGUUUCAUUCCAACCAUCUGCACAGCCAUACAUCACAUUAUUAGUCUAAGUUUACUCAGUCUGCAUUGUUGGUCAGAUUACGAAGCUGUAGAAAGACCUUUAGCAGAAAGACCAGUAGAGGAGGAUCGGGCUACGCAGGAAAUUAGGGAGCGAUGGGCCAGAAUCAAACCUCUCGUGGAAACUAACCAGCAAGAUCAAAGGAGCAAUUCCGAUGAGUACUUUUUCGAGACUAACUAUGGCCAUGUUAUACUACGAGACUAUCCAUAUAGCGCCCAGGAUGUUGACAGGACGAUUGAUGUGUUUAAGAAGAGGAUAACUGAACAUUUCAUUGGCAGAUCGCAGGUCGUGAACUCCAUGCCGAAAAUCGCCGUCGACAAAGAUACGGAGGGCAACCUUGGCGUUUAUGCAGUUAAAGAUAUCGAAGUGGGAGAAAUUGUAUACGUCGAUGAACCGUCCAUAAGAGGGCAUCUUCAUAAUUUUAUGCCCAAUGAUCAAGUGGAGCAUCGCUGCGAAAAUUGCAAAAGACAAAUCGAGGCGGAUACGCUAGUAUUAGCAGGACAAGGAUUGGGAACAAACCAACAAGUUAGUAGGAAAGCUCUCUGUAGCUGCUCUAAACUCUCCUCAACCCCUUUAUUUUGGUGUCCUCUACCGAGUGAUGAAGAUGAGCGUUCAUCCUCCUUUCCAACCAGGAUGGUCACCCGUUCGCAGACAGCAGCAACGAAGAGGCAGAGAACAGACGCAGAAUCUCCAGACUCCGAGCCAGUCGCACCGCCAACUAAGAAGCUCCGAUCAUGUUUGGAGAUAGCCCGUUCUCUCUAUCAUUACCACGCCUGUGGAAA